CAUUAGAUGGCCGAAACAUAAGCACUGGUCUCUUAAACCAAUCAAUAGUAUAUUAUUACUUCUAAUG
rnacentral:tRNA from 1 species